rnacentral:rRNA from 1 species
AGCGAACGCUGGCGGCAGGCCUAACACAUGCAAGUCGAGCGCCCCGCAAGGGGAGCGGCAGACGGGAGAGUAACACGUGGGAACGUACCCUUCAGUACGGAACAACCAAGGGAAACUUUGGCUAAUACCGUAUACGUCCGUAAGGAGAAAGAUUUAUCGCUGAAGGAUCGGCCCGCGUCUGAUUAGCUAGUUGGUGAGGUAACGGCUCACCAAGGCGACGAUCAGUAGCUGGUCUGAGAGGAUGAUCAGCCUCACUGGGACUGAGACACGGCCCAGACUCCUACGGGAGGCAGCAGUGGGGAAUAUUGGACAAUGGGCGCAAGCCUGAUCCAGCCAUGCCGCGUGGGUGAUGAAGGCCCUAGGGUUGUAAAGCCCUUUCGGCGGGGAAGAUAAUGACGGUACCCGCAGAAGAAGCCCCGGCUAACUUCGUGCCAGCAGCCG